UCCGUGUUCGUUGUCAUCGAGAGCAGAACCCACCAUGUGCGUCUAUCACAUGCUAGGCAUUCACCUGUUGAUGGAUAUCUGGGUGGUUGCCACUUUGGGGCUAUUACAAAUACUGUUGUCAAGAACAUAAAAUAUAAUCGUUAUGCAAAACGUGGUGGCACACACUUGUAAUCCCAGCAGCUUGGGAGGCUGAGACAAGAGGAUCACGAGUUCAAAACCAGCUUCAGUAAAAAGUGAGGCACUAAGCAACUCAGUGAGACCCUGUCUCUAAAUAAAAUACAGAAUAGGGCUGGAGAUGUGACUCAGUGGCCCAGUGCCCUAGAGUUCAAUCCCCAGUACACCACGCCUCUCCAAAAAAAAAAAAUCAUGGCUUUCAAAAUUUACUCAUUAUAAACGUGGUACAUGUUGUUCCUUGGGCAGGUGUUUUCUUGGGUAAAUACGUGGUUAUGGAAUGACUGGAUUCUAUGGUAGCUGUAUGUUUAACUCCUUAAGAAACUCCCAAAUCACAGUGGAAAGUGACUUUAACAGUUAACGUUCCCAUCAGUAAUGAAUGAAAAUUUCAGUUGUUCCACAUGGGCCCUCAAAUGCCUCGAAUGGUCAGUUGCCUUCAUUUUAGACAUUCUAGGGGUUUAUAUAGUAGCAUCUCAUUUGAAUUGCAUAUACAGCCAGGCAUUGAUUAACAAAGGGUAUCUGGUUAGGCAGUUUCUUCCCUGCUGUGUGAACAUCAUAGAUAAUACUUCUACAAACAUAGAUUAGGUAUGGUAUGGGUCAGUCAGUCAGUCACUCUACAGGACCUCGAUUCAGUCAAGAGACGUGGUAAACUCAAGACAUUUGAGACUAUCAGUGUAACAUGAUGUUUAACAGUAAACCUUUCUCUUUUUUUAAAUAAGUAGACAAAGUACAGUCUAAAGUAACAAUAGAAUGUACAGUAAAUACAUAAAAUAGUAACAUAGUCAUUUAUCAUCAUGAUCAGCAUUAUUGUGAUUAUAUGGGGUAUACUUUUUUGUCAGGGCAGAGAAUUGAACCCAGGGCAUUGCACAUGCUAGAUAAGUGCUCCACCAAAUAAGCUACAUCCUAAGCCCUUUUUUAAAGUAUAUUUUGAGACAGGGUGUUGCUAAUUUGCCCAGACUGGCCUCCAACUUUCAAUCCUCUUUUUUUUAGCCUCCCAAGUAGCUGAGAUUACAGGCUUAAGGUAGCUUUUUAAUUAGAUGCCAGGCAUGUGGGCUUUAUAUUGUCAGUGCUAAAUAUUUUUAUAUUUCCAUAAUAUUCUUGAAUGUGUUCUAGAGCACAGGUAAGUUAUUUGGAAAGUUUUCUCCUUUCUGACCUUGCCUUUAAACUGGUGAGAUCAGAGCCACCCUUUAGUCUUGGGCUAAUUCUGUCCUUGAACUGAGGCAAUAUCUUUUCCAAGUUUUCUGCUCUGCCUGGGAGGAACACAAACAGUCAGAUCCUUUGGGUGAUUCUUUCUCUAGCUUGGAGGCAUUCCCUCCCAGACAUGCGCUGACCCACAACCAGCUGAAGACUUCAGAGACCUCCUUGAGGCCCAGGGGGCUUGCUCUCUCUGGGCCCUGCUCUCUGCUGGCCCUGCAAGCUCUGGCGCUCUGUUCUGCAAGCUCUGGCGCUCUGGGCCGCUC
rnacentral:lncRNA from 1 species